AGGUUUCACACAGUUUCCGACUAUCAAAUUUAUUUACAAGGCAUUGGUCGGUCCGUGACUAUAGUAGAAGACGGAGCUAUACAGUGUGACUGAACCCCGAACCACGUGGUUGUAAGGUAAGCUUCUUUACCAUACAGCCAUGCCCAGUAUUUUUACUAUUAUCUUUAUUUAUUUAUUUUUUCCUUAUCUUCAUACUUCCACCCUAAUUUCUUUCAUUAAUUUCUCAUUUCGUUUAACUUUCGGAUAUUUAUAAAAUAUUACUCUUUAUCUACCAAUGAUUUCCUUUAUCAAUUGAACUUAAUUUCUCUAUUAAGUCAAUACUCCAGUAUGGUCUUGGCUCCGUAGGCUAGAGUAAACUAAAAGAAAUUAAACAAUUUUAGAAUAGUGUUUUAUUUAUUCUAUAUUUCUGUCGUAUAUUCUUUUUGCUCUUUGUUUUUUUUUCUUCUAGUUAGUAUCGUUAUUGUUACAUAGUCUCAAUCUAUCUUCGACGUUAUCUUCUGCUUUCUCUCUUGUACUGUCUAUAUAUGUAUGUGCGUCAGUGGCGGAUCUACCAUAAAGCUAAUGAAGCUUAUGCUUCAGGGCCCCCUUUGAAGCAACUUCAUUUUUCAUUCUGUCAAUGUUUUUGUUUUUGUAUUUUGCCACGCAGAUUGAUUGCUGUUACCAGUUCUAGUGGACAUCUAGUGGACAUCAUAUCAUACUCCUACGCAGAGUCUAGACACGCAGAGUCUAGACACGCAGUGUCUAGCCACGAGUUGUUUCCGACGUUUCUGCCCGUGUGGAGUAGCAUAAAAAAUAUAAGCAGAAACGACUCGCAGAUAAUUCGCUUUACUUGAAUUAUUUUGGAAACUUCGGCCCUGCCCCUUCCAUUGUCAAAUAUGUCUGCUACUACAUCAGCACGGUAGAGAUAAGAAUUCUUAGUUUCACACCAUUAUUUAAUGACCAAUUUUGAAUACAUAGGGCAAUCUUAAGUGUAACUAGAUUGUCUGCACACUAUGAAGCAGUCUGGGCAAUUAAAAUGAAUAUAGGGAUAUUUACAAACUCUCAAACGUAUGUUUGAAGCCUCAAAAGAGAAGCCUGAAUGUAAGCGAGAUGCAAAGAAUUUAUACCACAAGUUGGUAAAAUUGGAAUAAGCUGUUUUAACAGUCUUUGGGAAGAAGUUACAGAGUGUUUUAACAAAACAAGUAAGAAACUCCAAACCCCUGGUUCUGAUAUAUUUGAAGGUUACCUUCUGCUAGCAUCUUUGCUUUCGUUUGUUAAAGAACUACGAGAAAAUUCAGCCGACACGAUUGCACACUAUAAAUCAGUAGCAAAAAGGUCUAUGUGAAUAUAUCACCUCAAAUCAUUCUGUUUUCAAACACAUUGUUACAAAGAAAUUUGCAGAUAGAACAAGUGAUACGGCUUCUUUGAAAGGGGCAGAAAAAUUUAGGAUAGAAGUUCUAAAUUAAGUCUAUGACUGCUUGAUAAUCUAGUUAAGCAAGAGGAUGGACCCAUAUGAGCAGAUUGCGAAAAUGUUCAAGUUUCUCUCAGAAUUGAUGAACAAUUCAGAAUUUGAUGAGAACAGUAUCAAACUUAUUAUAUUGCAUUACAAAGGCGAUAUUUACUACAAAUUAAUAAAUGAGUGUUAUCUGUUCAAAGAGUAUUUACACCUUAGGAAAUCCCAGAAUACAGAAGAAAACACCCCAGCUCUUCAGCUUAUUCAUGAGCAACAGUUAAUUGAAGUGUCCCCUAACAUUACCACUGCACUUGACAAUAUAAGCCGUACUUGACAAUGCCUAUCACGAGCUGUGAAGCAGAAAGGAGUUCCUUAAAGCUUUCCUUUGUAAAGAAUGAAUUUCGGUCUACCAUGACUGAAGAGCGCUGAAAUUCCUUAUGUAUAUUGUCUCUAGAAAAUGAUAUUGCAAGGAAGCUGUCAUAUGACAAAACUGUUGCAACAAAAAACAGAAAAAAGAGUAUUUUGUAAUUUUCACAUGUAUCUUAAUGAUGCAUCAUACAUGUAUAUAACGCUUCCCUAAUUUUCAACCCCCAUAACUCUAAAAUUAUAUGGUAUAGCCUGGAAAAUAUUUGCAGUGAUCUGCCAUGGAACAAUCACAUCGACAAAGAUAUCGGUAAUUACCCACACCUCGUUUCUAGUGGAAAGAGGGCUCACUUUCAGACUCAUUUUUAAGGACUCCAUGUCACAACUCCACCAUUUGGGCUAUCAGAACCUCAAGCUGGAGUACCUUGCAAGGGCACGAAAAUUUUUUGACCCUUGGAUGUUACCCUACUGUUGCAGGUUGUAAAGGAGACCCCUAUAACAUUUUAAACUUCUGAGCCCCAAUAUUGUAGAUCCGCGAAUGAUGUGCGUAUAUGUAUGUGUCUAUGCAUGCGUCAACAUAUGUGUUUUUGUGUAUCUACAAGCAUGUGUGCGCGUGCGUGUUUGUUACUUUGUGUAUUUUUAUUUAUCGCCUUUCUACUUAUAUAUAUAUAUAUAUAUAUAUAUAUAUAUAUAUAUAUAUAUAUA
rnacentral:lncRNA from 1 species